rnacentral:sRNA from 2 species
GCUCUUCGUUCACCGAGGUUGAACCGCGAAGAGAUUGGGAAACUAAGGUUCAACGCGGGGAAACCAAUUCCGACCCUUCGCGGUCUUGGGGUGAAGCUUGGGAAACCAAGCCGGGCACUCCCGCCCGAACCCGACAGCUCACCUCGCAGGUCUAAGAGGAGAAAAUU